UCAGCUUGAAAACUCCAUGAAAAUCUCUCUUGUGAUUCAGAAUGGAUUUGCCUUUGAGAGAAUCAUCAUUUAUGUAUGGGACAGCAGUUUGGGAUUAUUGGUAGCUACAGAAUAGAGAUUGUCAUUGGAGUGGGAAUGAAAUCCAAGAGACUCUCGCAAGAUGCUGUUCUCACAACAGUUCCAAAAUCUUCUAAAAAUGAUACGAAGUUAGGCGUAAUAUCCAGAUACGGAAUCCCUGCUGGAAUUGCAGACACAGGGAACUAACAUGUCCGUUUCCUUCCAACGAGUCCAUGACAGUGCCUCAAAAUACAACAACUCGUUGACAUCGAUAAUCAGCUGGAAGAAUGGAGACUUUGGUAUGCUUGUCAGUCACAUCUACUGUGGCUGCCUGCGCAGGGAAAAGAAGAAAGUGAGCAGAGAAUGGAAUAAUUUUAGAUAAUGUCAGCGUUCUGCAACGGUGGCCUGUGUAUGGCCAUGAGAGAGCCCAGAAGCAGUGAGGGAUCCAGAAAAGGAAGUGAGAAGGCAUCAAAAGUGUAUUUAUUGUGCUUUACAUGAAGGCCUUUUUCUGCUGAAAUAGAGCCACAUGCCACUAUCAGAUCUGACACCUCAACAAUAGAUUUCUGAUAUUUGUU